GGCCAUAUGACUAGUGCUGCCCAAUGGACUGUGAACAGAAAUGACAGCAUCACUCGCAUGGAGACUCCUCCAUCUCUGUCUUCCCUGUUGUGACAGUCUCAGAGCCUACGUUCUUUCAAUGGCUGGGCUACAAGAUGGUGACAGGCUGCCCAACCUGACACAGCAAGAAGGCGGCCAUCUGCAAACCAGAAAGAGAGCCCUCACCAGGAACCGGAUCUGCUGGCACCUUGAUCUUGGACUUCCUAUCCUUUAGAGCUGUGAGAAAUGUCGCCCCCAGGUCAAUGGGAUAUUUGUUACAGCACCAGGUACUGCCUGAGAACUCUACCUUUAGGGAGCCUGCGUGCUGGGUCACUGGGGAGACAAUGAAGGUGCUUGACACCCAGUUUGAAUAUUGUGUCACUGCAAAGCUGACUGCUGUUGAAGGAUAGCCAGUGAGAGGUCAUGGCAAGCCAUCAGAAGAAGCAGAAGUCAUGAGCAUGCUGAAGCUAUGAGGCCAAGACAAAAUGUCACAUUGCCACAAGAAGAGGGACAAACAGGCAACAGGCAGAGCCCAUGGGAAUCAGUAAUCUCCUGCUGACACUGAGGCCUUGGGACUAACUCAGAUCCAGUACUACUCUCUUGGGACCUGUUCUGACUCCAGCUCCUGUCCUUGGGGUCCACUGAGAUCCCUGUAGCCUUGUAAUAAGCCCACAUUAUCAUAUUUCCCCUGCCGGCUCCACCCUAGAGCAUUUCCAACAAUUUCCAGUGCUUUUCCCCUUCUCAUACCACUGGGCCUUUGCACGUGCUCGUGCCUCCCCAACUUGCCCUGCCUUCUCCUUCACCCAGACAACUCCUACUAAAUCUCUCAGACUCCUCAGCUGUGUCCCUUCCUAGGGGAGGACUCUCUUCCCUCCAGUGAGCCCGGUGGUCCUCCCUGGGAUCCCCUGCUCCUUGUCUUCCCUGCCGUCCUUACUGCCAUCCUUGUUCUCUACUCAGAAGGAGGCAGAGGCUGGCCUGCCCCCAAUCCCCUGUAGACUGACCAGAUGAAUUGACCUGGGCUGGGCAGGGCAGGCGUGUUUGACCAGUUGUCUGGGCACCCCAUGGCUCAGUCAAGUUGACACAUAAAGUUCACCGCCCCAGGGCCCCUUCGUUGUAUUUGUGUAUGAAUAAAACACAGCAUCCACUCCAGGUAUCUGAGGGUCCUGGAGGCAGGUUUUGUGAUCCCUUUUUACAGAUGAGGAUGCGGAGGUCCAGUUGUCACUCACCCAGAUCACACUCUCAUCUGCUGAUGGGAGGAGUAUUUGAUGGGAUGUGUGAGCCCGGCCGUCUCCCUUGGGACACAUCAGCUCAUUAAAUUUGCCAGCCCCUGCCUGAAAAAGUAUUUAAUUUGCCUUUUACAAUGCACCCAUUGCAAGUUAAUUAACUGGCAAUUGAAAGUUAUAGGUGGCAUUAGAAUUUAUUAAUAACAUUGGGAAUAAAUCUCCCUGGAAUUCAAUUAACUGAAAA
rnacentral:lncRNA from 10 species